rfam:Populus trichocarpa scaffold_8_contig_171, whole genome shotgun sequence.
UCUAGAACUUGAGAUAUGGGCUGAACACUGAACAGUGUCUGGGCUGCAGGACAGAUUCGGACUUCUUUGGUGUUGCUACAAUUUGAACUUGAAAACGGCCUUGUUAAAUCUUGGACUCCACAUGAAAGUUGUAGGCCUAUGUCUUACCUUUCCAUC